rnacentral:rRNA from 1 species
GCGGCGGCGUACUAAGACAUGCAAGUCGAACGGAUUAUCCUGCUUUCGGGUGGGAUGGUGAGUGGCGAACGGGUGAGUAACGCGUAGGAACCUGUCCUUGGCGUGGGGGAUACCGCGGGGAAACCGGCGCUAAUACCGCAUACGGUUGGCAAGCGAUUGCGAAGCAAAGCCCUCGGUGACGAGGGCGCGCAAGGAGGGGCCUGCGUCCGAUUAGCUAGUUGGUGGGGUAAGGGCCUACCAAGGCGACGAUCGGUAGCUGGUCUGAGAGGAUGGUCAGCCACACUGGGAAUGAGACACGGCCCAGACUCCUACGGGAGGCAGCAGUUAGGAAAUUUUUCCAAUGGGCGCAAGCCUGAGAGAGUAACGCCGCGUGGAGGAUGACGGCUUUCGGGUUGUAAACUCCUUUUCUGGGGGACGAGGAGCUGACGGUACCCCAGGAAGAAGCCUCGGCUAACUACGUGCCAGCAGCCGCGGUAAUACGUAGGAGGCGAGCGUUGUCCGGAAUUACUGGGCGUAAAGCGCGCGCAGGCGGUCUGGCACGACCGGUGUGAAAGCCCCCGGCUCAACUGGGGAGGGUCAUCGGUUACGA